AGAAUCAACGCUGGCGGCGUGCCUAACACAUGCAAGUCGAACGCGAAAGUCCCGCAAGGGAUUAGUAGAGUGGCAAACGGGUGAGUAACACGUGGGUGACCUGCCUUCGAGCGGGGGAUAACGUCCCGAAAGGGACGCUAAUACCGCAUAACAUCCUGCCUUUUAAGAGGUGGCGACCAAAGCCGGGGAUUCGCAAGAACCUGGCACUUGAAGAGGGGCCCGCGCCUGAUUAGCUAGUUGGUGGGGUAAUGGCCUACCAAGGCAACGAUCAGUA
rnacentral:rRNA from 1 species